rnacentral:rRNA from 1 species
UGCAAGUCGGACGGUAGCACAGAGAGCUUGCUCUUGGGUGACGAGUGGCGGACGGGUGAGUAAUGUCUGGGGAUCUGCCCGAUAGAGGGGGAUAACCACUGGAAACGGUGGCUAAUACCGCAUAACGUCGCAAGACCAAAGAGGGGGACCUUCGGGCCUCUCACUAUCGGAUGAACCCAGAUGGGAUUAGCUAGUAGGCGGGGUAAUGGCCCACCUAGGCGACGAUCCCUAGCUGGUCUGAGAGGAUGACCAGCCACACUGGAACUGAGACACGGUCCAGACUCCUACGGGAGGCAGCAGUGGGGAAUAUUGCACAAUGGGCGCAAGCCUGAUGCAGCCAUGCCGCGUGUAUGAAGAAGGCCUUCGGGUUGUAAAGUACUUUCAGCGGGGAGGAAGGCGACGGGGUUAAUAACCCCGUCGAUUGACGUUACCCGCAGAAGAAGCACCGGCUAACUCCGUGCCAGCAGCCGCGGUAAUACGGAGGGUGCAAGCGUUAAUCGGAAUUACUGGGCGUAAAGCGCACGCAGGCGGUCUGUUAAGUCAGAUGUGAAAUCCCCGGGCUUAACCUGGGAACUGCAUUUGAAACUGGCAGGCUUGAGUCUUGUAGAGGGGGGUA